ACAAGGUUUCCGUAGGUGAACCUGCGGAAAGGAUCAUUA
rnacentral:rRNA from 1 species